rnacentral:lncRNA from 1 species
UGCUUGAGAUGAUUACAAAGUUGCUAGAAAUAUUUCCAUUUUCUCUUGACUAAAUCCAUGGGUAAAAUAGUUGGAGCACAGGUGAGGCCUAAUAGUUAAACUUGUUUCCCAUUAACAGUACUCUAGCAUUCCAGUUACUUUACAUCUUUGCCUGCACUUGGUAUUCUUAGACUUUUUAGAGAGUGCAAGGUAUGUGAGUUAUCUCACUAUGCUUUAAAUUGCAUUUCCCUGGUGACUAAUUAUGUCUAGAAUCUCAUUUGUAACUGAUUUCAUUUUGGAAAACUUAAAAAAUCAUUUUCUACUACUACCUUUAAGUGGGUCAUUUUGUCUAUUAUUACAUGUUGGGAGUUAUUUGCUAUUCUAGAUAAAAUCCUCUUCCAGUCUGUCUUCAGCACAUUGAAGCCUCAAGUUCUAGUAAACAGGGGCUGUUUUUGGAAUACCUGGUAUUCUGUAUGUAAUUUUAAAAAAACAAUAAGAGAUUAUAGGAAUCUUCAGGAUAAUCUAUUUUCAAAUAUGCUCUUUGCAUUACUGCUACCAAAACAAAACGCACUUUUAAAAGAAUAAAAGCUGUUCUUCAUCAUUCUAACCAAUUUCCCCUUUCUUCUUCAGGUCAACUCUGAUUUUGGAAACUCAGUAUUAACUGUGUUUAUGUGGCAGUAGAUAAAUGAGACGUGUGGCCUGACUGGUUCUGUAGCACAGUUAGGCUAGAGGUUUAUCUCUGAGAAGAUCUGGAUACCAAACAAUUACUUCAGCCAUGCAAGCUGUAAACCAUGCCCACCAAAACCACAGCAUGUGCAGAUUUUCUGUAGGUUUUUUGACUAGUGUCUAGAGAAACAAUUCAAAUAACCAAGUUCUGUCUUUCUGCUCUCUUGAUUCAGUGUGCAUCAUUUCCAAUUUCACUUCAUAAGACCUGUUAUAUUCAGCUCACCUAAAACAUUUGCAUCAGCAACAGUUUUUUUCAAGUUUCAUAUAAUUUGGAUAUUACUUUCAGUAUGAAAACUGUUAAAUUUUAUAAACAAAGAAAGAGCACUCAACUUUACUCUCAAAUCACUUGUCAGUGGAGUAAAUUGCACCUCAACCUGAACUGAAGAACAGAGUCUUCAGGCUCAGACCUACAUUCACUUGUCACUCAUUUUCCCCAAGGCCCAAGCAUCUAACAGCAGGUCUUUACUAGAGAGCUAAGUAAAAGCUUCCUCCCCACUUCCACCACACCUUUAGUCUCACCACAGAACCCACACCUAAAUGUCACCCAUUCUUCCUACUACCUCAGAACUGUGUCAGAGAUUCUGCAGGAGACU